CACCAAGGCCGAUUUAUUUGGUGAUGGAGGGGGGGAAAGUGGUCGGGGAGAGAGCCUUUUCCUGACCCUUUGAGCACUCUCAGAUAGAAUUCACUUGUGGCUCUGUCACCAUGAUGAUGAGUUAUGCGGUCAUCUGAAACUUGUAAAAACAAAUAACUCCAGUAGACACCAGACAGAGAUGAAUGCAGAUUUUGCUCUGGAGUGCAACUGCCCUACAUAGAUAUAUUUAUUUUUUGAAUUGUACUUGAGAUUCUCUAUUCAUCCUUUUUAGAAAAUGAAUCAACUGAGUCCUGGGAUGGAAUUUUAAAUGCUCAGCAAGUUAAAUAAAUAAGAACUUGCAGAUUUAAAGAGGGGAGAAGAUCAAUUACCUUAUUGGAUUCCAGAUCCGUUCAGGGAGAACUUGGGUGGAUAGCAAGCCCUCUGGAAGGAGGGUGGGAGGAAGUGAGUAUUAUGGAUGAAAAAAAUACACCCAUCCGAACCUACCAAGUGUGCAACGUGAUGGAACCCAGCCAGAAUAACUGGCUCCGAACUGACUGGAUCACCCGAGAAGGGGCCCAAAGGGUGUACAUUGAGAUCAAGUUCACCUUGAGGGACUGCAAUAGUCUUCCAGGCGUCAUGGGGACUUGCAAGGAGACGUUUAACCUGUACUACUAUGAAUCGGACAACGACAAGGAGCGUUUUAUCCGAGAGAGCCAGUUUGCCAAGAUCGACACCAUCGCCGCUGAUGAGAGCUUCACCCAAGUGGACAUCGGCGACCGAAUCAUGAAGCUGAACACCGAGGUCCGAGAUGUAGGGCCACUGAGCAAAAAGGGCUUUUACCUGGCUUUUCAGGAUGUGGGCGCCUGCAUCGCCCUGGUGUCCGUCCGCGUGUUCUAUAAGAAGUGUCCGCUCACCGUGCGCAAUCUGGCCCAGUUUCCAGACACCAUCACGGGGGCUGAUACGUCUUCUCUGGUGGAAGUCCGCGGCUCCUGUGUCAACAACUCAGAAGAGAAGGAUGUGCCAAAAAUGUACUGCGGGGCAGAUGGUGAAUGGCUGGUACCCAUUGGCAACUGCCUCUGCAAUGCCGGGCAUGAAGAGCGGAAUGGAGAAUGCCAAGCCUGCAAAAUUGGCUAUUACAAAGCCCUCUCCACGGAUGCCACCUGUGCCAAGUGCCCACCCCACAGCUACUCUGUCUGGGAAGGAGCCAUAUCCUGCACCUGUGAUCGAGGCUUUUUCAGAGCCGACAGUGAUGCUGCCUCAAUGCCCUGUACCCGCCCACCAUCUGCUCCCCUAAACUUGAUUUCAAAUGUCAAUGAGACUUCAGUGAACUUGGAAUGGAGCAUUCCUCAGAACACGGGUGGCCGCCAGGACAUUUCCUACAAUGUGGUGUGCAAGAAAUGCGGAGCUGGUGAUUCUAGCAAGUGCCGACCCUGUGGCAGUGGGGUCCACUACACCCCACAGCAGAAUGGCCUGAAGACCACCAAAGUCUCCAUCACUGACCUCCUGGCUCAUACCAAUUACACAUUUGAAAUCUGGGCGGUGAAUGGAGUGUCCAAGUAUAACCCUAGUCCGGAUCAGUCAGUGUCUGUCACCGUGACAACCAACCAAGCAGCACCAUCAUCCAUUGCUUUGGUCCAGGCUAAAGAGGUUACCAGAUACAGUGUUGCCCUGGCUUGGCUGGAACCAGAUCGGCCCAAUGGAGUGAUCUUAGAGUAUGAAGUCAAGUAUUAUGAGAAGGAUCAGAAUGAGCGAAGCUAUCGCAUUGUCCGGACAGCUGCCAGGAACACUGAUAUCAAAGGUCUGAAUCCUCUGACUUCCUAUGUUUUCCAUGUCCGGGCCAGGACAGCAGCUGGCUAUGGAGAUUUCAGUGAGCCUCUGGAGGUCACAACCAACACAGUGCCUUCUCGGAUCAUUGGAGAUGGGGCCAACUCCACAGUCCUUCUGGUCUCCGUAGCUGGCAGUGUGGUGCUAGUGGUCAUUCUCAUCGCAGCUUUUGUCAUCAGCAGGAGACGGAGUAAAUACAGUAAAGCCAAGCAAGAGGCAGAUGAAGAGAAACAUUUGAAUCAAGGUGUUAGAACUUAUGUGGAUCCCUUUACAUAUGAGGAUCCCAACCAAGCAGUUAGAGAAUUUGCCAAAGAAAUCGACGCAUCCUGCAUUAAGAUAGAAAAAGUCAUAGGAGUUGGUGAAUUUGGUGAAGUCUGCAGUGGGCGUCUCAAAGUGCCUGGCAAGAGAGAGAUCUGUGUGGCCAUUAAGACGCUGAAAGCCGGUUAUACAGACAAACAGAGGAGAGACUUCCUGAGUGAGGCCAGCAUCAUGGGACAGUUUGACCACCCGAAUAUAAUUCACAUGGAAGGCGUCGUCACCAAAUGUAAACCAGUGAUGAUCAUAACAGAGUACAUGGAGAAUGGCUCUUUGGAUGCAUUCCUCAGGAAGAAUGACGGCAGAUUCACAGUCAUUCAGCUGGUGGGCAUGCUUCGUGGCAUUGGGUCUGGGAUGAAGUACUUAUCUGAUAUGAGCUAUGUGCAUCGAGAUCUGGCUGCACGGAACAUUCUGGUAAAUAGCAACUUGGUCUGCAAAGUGUCCGAUUUUGGCAUGUCCCGAGUACUGGAGGAUGAUCCGGAAGCAGCUUAUACCACAAGGGGUGGCAAGAUUCCUAUCCGGUGGACUGCGCCAGAAGCAAUUGCCUAUCGUAAAUUCACAUCAGCAAGUGAUGUAUGGAGCUACGGAAUCGUUAUGUGGGAAGUGAUGUCGUAUGGAGAGAGACCCUAUUGGGAUAUGUCCAAUCAAGACGUGAUUAAAGCCAUUGAGGAAGGCUAUCGGCUACCCCCUCCAAUGGACUGUCCAAUCUCACUCCACCAGCUGAUGUUAGAUUGCUGGCAGAAGGAGAGGAGUGACAGGCCUAAAUUUGGGCAGAUUGUCAACAUGUUGGACAAACUCAUCCGCAACCCCAGCAGCUUGAAGAGGACGGGAACCGAGAGCUCCAGACCCAACACUGCCUUGUUGGAUCCAAGCUCCCCUGAAUUCUCCGCCGUGGUAUCGGUGGGCGACUGGCUGCAGGCCAUUAAAAUGGACCGGUAUAAGGAUAAUUUCACAGCUGCUGGUUAUACCACACUAGAGGCUGUGGUGCACAUGAACCAGGACGACCUGGCACGAAUUGGCAUCACAGCUGUCACCCACCAGAAUAAGAUUUUGAGCAGCGUCCAGGCGAUGCGAACCCAGAUGCAGCAGAUACACGGCAGGAUGGUUCCCGUCUGAGCCAGUACUGAAUAAACUCAAAACUCUUGAAAUUAGUUUACCUCAUCCAUGCACUUUAAUUGAAGAACUGCACUUUUUUUACUUCGUCUUCGCCCUCUGAAAUUAAAAAACAAAAACAAAAUCGAAAAACCUAUCUGCAGUGUUGCUUGGUGUACAGAAUGCUGGAAAAUGGGGCUCACAGAAAUGACCAGUGUCAUUUGAAUUCGACCUGGAACAAAUUGUUUCUCAGAAGUACUGGGUCCAUCGCCAGUUUGUAAAAUACACAUACCUGUGCAAAUAGGACUCCGCCUCUGAGUUUUGAUGCUGUACCUGCUGCCGGACACUGGGCUUUCUUGAGACAUCCUGAUCCUCACUCCAUUUGGAAUUACAACUAGUAUUUUGUGUGUGGCAUAAAUGACAGUCCUCCUUUCACUGGAAUGAAGGCCAUGCCCAGGAACAUUUUUGAAAGACUCACUUGUAGCUAUUAAGGCUUGGCUCAUGCCAGGGGGAAGAACACAGGUGAAAACCGGGUGGCUCAUCAGUGUAGUUCCUCAAAGCUCAGGCCACCUGGUGGAUUGUGAUGCCAUGAGGGGAUGGAAAGAAAAAGAAAGUGGAUUUAAAAAUAAUAAUAAUAAUAAACCCCAAACACCCUACAUCCCUGACUGGACAAACGAGGUCUGUUUCUUUGGGCCUGAGGCUGUGCCAUAGAGUCGUAUUUUGGGACUCUACAAACUUACCGUAACUACCUUACGGAUAGUGGACUGUGACAAUCUUGAAUAGGGAAUGUUCACACUUCCCUUCUUUAAAGAAGCAAACCCAAAUCUCCAAGGGAGUAGAUUCUGCUAUCUUGGCCUCACAGCCCUUCCUGUUGAUUACAAAGCCCACAAAGAAAACAGAACACACCCUUCUUGGUUCCUUAGAAAUGUGUUUCUUCUGCUUCUACUAUGCCAGUUCUGGAGCAAAGACAUUGAUGAAACAGCACCCAAAUACCUGAAAUAAAUAAAUCUAUGACUUUCAAAUCCCCUUUCCAGUGAAAGAAGCAGCAAACAUUCAAGGUUCGGCAUCUAUUCUCCGGUUGCACUGAGGAAUGUACUGUCUCAAAGCACCAGCUCUGCAGAACCCUUGUUCCCAAACUCCUUGUGGUUUUAUUUAUAUCUAUUUCCAUAUCUCAUUGCUGUACAUCACUGCUGCAUUGGUGUGGCAGCAAGUGACCGAAGGCAACAGGUUUUAUUAUGGACACCAGGUCAGGUGCCACCACACAACACAAAGCCAGUUCUCAUGAACUGCCUAUGAUAUGCAUUGCUGAAGUAACAUUUUACCCAGGGUGUGCCAUUGCAGUGAUAUAAAUAUAUUUUUUUCCUAGACUAAAUAUGAGCUGACUAUCUGUUUUGAUGUGUGUACAUAGGUGUGAGUGUGUGUGGAUGCGUGUGGAUGUAUGUGUGUUGUGUGUGUGUGUGUGUGUGUGUGUGUGUGUGUGUGUGUGUAACCUCAUGCUUAGAACUGCCUGUGAAUGUCGUGGAAUGCUACACCUGAAGUGUUCUGGUUUUCCACCAGUUCUGAGAUGAAGAGCCACACAAAAUAGUGAUCUGGAGACCAUGCCCAUCCCCUUAGAAGGAAACCCAGAAAUGUUAAAUGUCUGUAUUUAUGUUGUAUUUUAUAGCUGCCACACUAACCUUAAUAAGUAAUUAUACAGCUUUGGGCAGAGCAUUUUCACCUUAGUGGUGGAGUAAUCUUAGAAUAUAAAUAUAAACCCAUUCAAGUGACAAUCCAUCUUCAAAGUCACGAUUCUGAUUGAACUCAUCUGAAUCACUAGUUCCUUGAUGGAGAGAGAGAGAAGGGGAUGGAAUUUGUCUGGUAAUCCCAAAUGGAAUACAAGUAGCCUUUGUUUUCCUGCAUAAAUGGACUUGAUGAAUGCGAACAAAUAUAUGCAAUUCAUAUACUUUUGGAGAUGAACGUAGACAUGUGUGUCAGCUUUGAGAUGAUGUGUCCUGGAUUAAUACUUUGUCUCCCAAUGUCACAGAAAAAUGUAUGCCGGUGACUCUUGAGGUUAGCAUAGAUGGGAUUAAAUAGCCUCGAGCAAUUUCAGGUUCCCAAUUACAUGGAAAGUUCUACAAUUAUUAAUAUAGAGCUAACUCCUAUGGCCCACAAAAGUGCAUCAGCCUUCUAGAAUCUGAGGUCCACUGUGCAAAGAUUCUGUUUUGAUAUGAUAUGUAUACCAAACUCCAGCCAACAUACUGCCAUGUUUCAUAAUUGAGUGGCUGCCUUGCUUAUUUUAAGCUAUGGUUGCAGAAACUGUGGCCAUUUAUAUAAGCUAUAACAUCAAAUCAGGGAAAAAUGGGAAACAAAAGAUUCUGAACCCUAUAUUGUUGAAUAAGUAAAAAAAAAAUCAUCAAUAAAUAUUUAUUGCAUUCUGACAGGGUGUAUGGCAUUGUAUUCUCAGAACUAUGCCAGAGUGACAAAGUUAAUUCACCCCUUUUUGGGGACCUUAAUAUAUUUUUAAAGGGAUGUGCCUAUGCAUUAAUGCCUGAAAAAUAUGUAUAAAGAAAUGAGGUUGAAUCUCUGAGCAAGUCACCUUUCCCCAGAGGUAAGGGCAGGAGGCCAGCUUUAGGGACUGGGUCUAGCCCCAUGAGUUAGUGCUGACCUAGUGAGUUCAGAUCUACCAUUAGGAAGCAUUAAGCUGAUCCCCUGCACCAAAUCAAGUAGCUUCACCAUGUGUCCACUGGCCCCAAAUUAUUUUUAACAAUUUUAUGAAUAAAAAGUUCUGGUGUGUUUUAAAAGUUAUUUUAAAGAAAGGCUGUGCUCACUACACUGUUGGUGUGUGUGUUUUGAGAGCUCUUGUAUUCAAUCUGUGAAGGAUAUGUAUAUUAAUCCAUACACGCGUAUAGCCUCAAUAUUUGUCUGAAGACACUUAAAUUCUGACCAAUAAAGCAAAGUUCUAGAAGCAAUAUUUUCACUUAUUUAACAUUCUCCAAACAACAUCAAGCAUUGAUACACACUAAAGAGUGUAUUUAUUAUUUUUUAUCACUCCAAGUAUGUUGGAAUAUGCAAGGACUGUGGUUAAAAUUAGAAUGUAUAAGGCAUAUUAUAAUUUAGUUCAUACUGAAAAAUAAAUUAACUGAACAUUGCUUGGUUCAUGUUCCAAAAUUUGAGCAAUUUCUUGAGUUAGACAUAGAAUUUCUAUUUUGUUUUAAUUUGUCAAGAUAUUUUCUUCCCUUCAUAAAACUUAGGUACACAUAACUUAUGUCACUUAUUUAUGGUCUUUUAUACCUAGUUUGUAAAAUUGUAAAAUAGCAAACUAAAUGCAAAGAGUUUGCAUUUGAAAACAAUAAAGUAGUUGCCAUAUUCAAACCUGGAA